UAGCGGAAAAGCCUUUGCGCGUGGCUUGGAAUGAUCGGGAAGUUUCCAGGGAGAUGACGAGAAACAACGGGAGACGAUGGAGGGGAUGUAGAAUAUAAGUAGGCGACGGGAAGGACUGGGCGCGCUGCGUGCGUUGCGUUUUUCUGAGAGUUGAAUAAUAAUUGAGGAGUGAUAAGUGUAACGGGAGGUACGAAAGACAACGGGGAACGGCGAAGGAUUACGAUAGGCGACGACGAGUCGGAUUCGGGUGUUCCUUGUGGUUGUUUUCGGACGUGGGGAGUUACACUUAUUGAUACCGAAAUAUUAUGUUCAAUGCUGAGGAAAAGCUGUAAGAAUUCUCAGGUUUCCGACUUUGUCUAAAGGCGCUUUGCAUUGUUGGCUGUGCCUAGGAACUGCUACCAAUGGCGGAUUUUCGGCUUUGAAGAAGGCUAAUGACGCUACGCCAUUCGUGGAGCUUUUGAAACAACGUAACAUCAUUCCUGGCAUCAAGGUUGAUAAGAGUGUCGUGCCACUCUU
rnacentral:lncRNA from 1 species